rnacentral:rRNA from 1 species
GUGCCUAAUACAUGCAAGUCGAACGCUUCUUUUCUACCGAGUGCUUGCACUCAUUUGAAAAGAGGAGUGGCGGACGGGUGAGUAACACGUGGGUAACCUACCCAUCAGAGGGGGAUAACACUUGGAAACAGGUGCUAAUACCGCAUAAUAGUCGACACCGCAUGGUGUUGAUUUGAAAGACGCUUUCGGGUGUCACUGAUGGAUGGACCCGCGGUGCAUUAGCUAGUUGGUGAGGUAACGGCUCACCAAGGCCAUGAUGCAUAGCCGACCUGAGAGGGUGAUCGGCCACACUGGGACUGAGACACGGCCCAGACUCCUACGGGAGGCAGCAGUAGGGAAUCUUCGGCAAUGGACGGAAGUCUGACCGAGCAACGCCGCGUGAGUGAAGAAGGUUUUCGGAUCGUAAAACUCUGUUGUUAGAGAAGAACAAGUAGGAGAGUAACUGCUCUUACCUUGACGGUAUCUAACCAGAAAGCCACGGCUAACUACGUGCCAGCAGCCGCGGUAAUACGUAGGUGGCAAGCGUUGUCCGGAUUUAUUGGGCG